UGACCUCGGAUCAGGUAGGGAUACCCGCUGAACUUAAGCAUAUCAAUAAGCGGAGGAAAAGAAACCAACAGGGAUGCCCC
rnacentral:rRNA from 1 species